rnacentral:ncRNA from 2 species
UAUUUGCGCCAGAAUUGAGGUUAUGUGUUCGUUUUUUACGAACUAUAUUAAAAGGGAAUUAGGUUAAAAGCCUAAGCUGUACCCGCAACUGUAAGCUAUUAAAGCUUGUUGUUAUCUGCAAACCACUGUCAAGUUCAAAAACGUGAUGGGAAGGUAAACAACAAGAUGCAAGCCAGGAGACCUGCCUUUUUCGUAACAAAUAU